UACGGAGGGUGCAAACGUUGCUCGGAAUCAUUGGGCGUAAAGCGCACGUAGGCGGCCUGUUAAGUCGGGUGUGAAAUCCCCGGGCUCAACCUGGGAAUUGCGAUGGAGACUGCAAGGCUAGAAUCUGGCAGAGGGGGGUAGAAUUCCACGUGUAGCAGUGAAAUGCGUAGAUAUGUGGAGGAACACCGAUGGCGAAGGCAGCCCCCUGGGUCAAGAUUGACGCUCAUGCACGAAAGCGUGGGGAGCAAACAGG
rnacentral:rRNA from 1 species